UACAGAGGGUGCGAGCGUUAAUCGGAAUUACUGGGCGUAAAGCGCGCGUAGGCGGCUUUGCAAGUCGGGUGUGAAAUCCCCAGACUUAACCUGGGAACUGCAUUCGAGACUGCAUUGCUAGAGUAUGGGAGAGGGAAGUGGAAUUUCCGGUGUAGCGGUGAAAUGCGUAGAUAUCGGAAGGAACAUCAGUGGCGAAAGCGACUUCCUGGACCAAUACUGACGCUCAUGUGCGAAAGCGUGGGGAGCAAACAGG
rnacentral:rRNA from 1 species